GAGUGCCCGCGCCCUUCCCUGGCGUGAGGGUAUGUGCCUUUGGACUACAUCGUGGAAGCCAGCACCAUGCAGUCCAUGGGCAUAUACACUUGCCUCAAGGCCUAUGUCAUCGUGGAAC
rnacentral:precursor_RNA from 8 species